CAGCCUCAGACCGAAGUUUGUAUUAACCUGAGCGUAAGGUCCCGACUGAAACACAGACACAGAGGAACCAAACUUCGCAGGGAGGCGAACCUGACCACCGUUUGCCUGGAGUGAAGAAAAAGAAAAAACAAGAGUGAAGAGACCUUAGAAGUGUGAGCUGUUUGAGAAACUUGGGAGAGACGUGUUUGUGGUUUGUUGCUCAGCGAGGGAUUUGUUGCGGAAGCCCUGAUCUGCACCUCACCUGUCCAGCCAAGAUGGAUAGAGGGGAGGAACGCCAAACCUGUUUUCUCAAAAGUGCUAUUAGACCAGCUCUCUGAAAGCAACCAGGACAGAUAGAUGUUCUUUAUCAAUUCUGCAGUCCAUAUCAGAUCUGGUCCUAAAGGUCAGCAGGUGGAGAGAAUCAAUCUACACCUUGCCCUUUUUAACUGAGGAACAGGUCACACCAUGCAGUAGAGGAGAGGUUGUGUACUGCAUCAUGUUCCUGCUGCUGCUCUCUCUCUCUGUCUCUCUCUCUCUCACACACACACACACACACACACACACACACACACACACACACACACACACACAAACUAUCAGGUCAAGGUCAUUGCUUUUGUUCCAAACUGUUGCAAUCACUGACCUUUCGUGUUUUCGUCUGCAGUCACUGCGGUAUCUGUCUGUAAUCGGGAUUCCUCUCUCACACAGAGUCUUAUUUCAUCUUCAGACCUUUUAAAAGCUUUUAAAAGUCAGGAUAGAAAUUCACUGUUUGCACAGCAUUUGGAAGGUUACUGAGAAAAGGGUCACCUUUAAUGGCACAGAACUCUUUUUGGGAAGCACACAUGGCAGGAAUAUCUCAGAAAACAUGUCUCCCCAAAAUAAAAAAUAAAAAACCUAUCUACUAGAGUCUCCCUCUCUACAUUUUGAAUAGCAUUUAAUUAAUUUAUGCAAAUUUAUUUUUUUAAAUACUUCCAUUAUUACAUUAUAUAUUGUUUACAUAUGACUGUUUGUACUUCCUUUAAUUUAAUUCAGUUAAUUUUUCUUGUCAGCAUUGUUUUGUGUAAUAUUCAACUUUUUUUUAAAUGAAUGUAUUUCUGUCAUGAAAGUCUCCAUUAAGCAUAAAAAAAAUGACAAGAAAAGCCUUAAAAGAAAAACAUCCAGACACAUUAGUAAUGGCUGUACAAGGACAAAUGUGCUUAACUGUCAUAAAAGUAAUGGCACAAAGCAAAACGUCUUAAUGGUUCUAAAUGGCUUAAUUUUCUUUAUGCAAAAUAGAGAUAUAUAUAUUUUACUUUUGUUUUGGGGGGUGAAAUGUGAUGUUUUAUGAGAUUCACAAGAACAAACGUUAAAUGAGCAGCAGAUAUGGAUCUUUAGAUGGGCGUCUGUCUUGCCGAGGGUGAAUGGAGGCAGGGGAUUCAUGGCUGAAUGUGGCUCCUGUUGUUCUACAUUGGCAGAGCAAGUGAAUUGUGUUAGAUAUGAUCAAUAGAUGUGAGCAGCCAGCGUUUAAUUGCCUUUUGUUAACAUGGAGGUGUUUGACAGAAGGAAAGGCGAGUCCCCUAGGGCUGAGCAAGGGUGUUAGUGGAUGUGGGAGAAUGUGUGUGCGUUCACCAUUCUACAGUACAUGCAGGAUAUGCUUGGACCUUUGUUCCUGCUGAUGCCACAUUAAUUGCAAAUUCAACUCAAAUGCUCUGGAAACGUUGCCUGUUUUCCUUUCAAGGCCCGUAGCAUAGCCUAUGCAACUAUGCUAACGAAAACGCUUCUAGCUACACAAACCAGGGUCAAUGCGCUAUUAAAUAUGUCAGACUGCAGUUCAUACUGCAAGACAAGUACCUAUUGCAGAGUCCCACCGGGCAUUAGUGUAAGCUCUUGUUUUAUGGUCCGUUCUCUGUUUCAGGUCAACUAUCUUCAUGAAAGGGCACAAGUUUGAAGAGAAUGUUAAAACAGUUUUAAGUUAUGUUUAUAACAGCUAUCUGAAUAACAACACAUAUGGUUUAAUGGCAUCGACAUUUGAAAAGGUUUGUUAGCGAAACAAAAACACAUUAAGUAUGGACAUCCAGCAGCAGGGUCAAA